rnacentral:rRNA from 1 species
GAUCCUGGCUCAGAUUGAACGCUGGCGGCAGGCCUAACACAUGCAAGUCGAACGGUAACAGGAAACAGCUUGCUGUUUCGCUGACGAGUGGCGGACGGGUGAGUAAUGUCUGGGAAACUGCCUGAUGGAGGGGGAUAACUACUGGAAACGGUAGCUAAUACCGCAUAAUGUCGCAAGACCAAAGAGGGGGGACCUUCGGGUCCGUCUUGUCCACUCGGAGUGUGCCCACGAUGGGAGUUAGCUAGUAGGU